rnacentral:lncRNA from 1 species
AAAGUUAUUUUCUUUAAAAUGAUAUUAUUAAGAUUUUUGCCAAAUUUUCUUAAAUAAUUUUAUAAAUUUGAAAUUUUAAUAUUUUAAAAUUUAAAAUUAUAAAAUUUAAAAAUUUAAAAAUCUAAAAUUUAAAAUCCAAAUAUACAUUCUGAAAUUAAAAUUGUAAAAAUUUAAUAUUUUAAAAUCUAAAAUUUUAAAAUUCAGAUCUAAUUUGAAUUUUAAAUUUCAAAAAUAAAAUUUAAAAUUUAAAAUUUUAAAAUUCUAAAAUUAAAAUAUAAAAUUUGAAAUUUGAAAAUUUGAAUAUUUAGUAAAAGUAAGUUUUAUAGUUCUUAAAUUUAAAAUAUAAAAUAUAAAUUUUUAAUUUAAAAUUUGAAAUUACAUUUUAAAUUUAAAUUUUAGAUUUGAAAAUUUAAAAUUAAAACUUUAUCUUAAAUUUAAAUUUUAAAUUUUAAAUUUUAAAAUUUAAAACUUAAUAAUUUAAAAUUUAAAGCUUUAUCUUAAAUUUAAAAUUUUAAAAGUUAAUAAUUUAAAUCUGAAAUUUUAAAUUUUAAAUUUUAAAUUUUAAACUUAAUAAUUUAAAUUUUUAAUUUUUAAUUUUUAAAUUUUCUUAAUUUUAAAUAUACAAUUUGAAUUUGAAUUUAAAAUUGAAUGUAAAAUAAAACUUUAAAUCUAAAAUCAGAAAAAACACACUCUGAAAUUUAAUUUUAAAAGUUAGAAU